rnacentral:rRNA from 1 species
UGACCAGCCACACUGGAACUGAGACACGGUCCAGACUCCUACGGGAGGCAGCAGUGGGGAAUAUUGCACAAUGGGCGCAAGCCUGAUGCAGCCAUGCCGCGUGUGUGAAGAAGGCCUUCGGGUUGUAAAGCACUUUCAGCGAGGAGGAAGGUGGUGAACUUAAUACGUUCAUCAAUUGACGUUACUCGCAGAACAAGCACCGGCUAACUCCGUGCCAUCAGCCGCGGUAAUACGGAGGGUGCAAGCGUUAAUCGGAAUUACUGGGCGUAAAGCGCACGCAGGCGGUUUGUUAAGUCAUGAUGUGAAAUCCCCGGGCUCAACCUGGGAACUGCAUUUGAAACUGGCAAGCUAGAGUCUCGUAGAGGGGGGUAGAAUUCCAGGUGUACCGGUGAAAUGCGUAGAGAUCUGGAGGAUACCGGUGGCGAAGGCGGCCCCCUGGACUAGACUGACGCUCAUGUGCCAAAGCGUGGGGAGCAACAGGAUUAGAUACCCUGGUAGUCCACGCUGUAACGAUGUCAUUUGGAGUUGUGCCCUUGAGCGUGGCUUCCGGAGCUACGCGUUAAUCGCCGCCUGGGGAGUACGGCCGCAAGUUAAACUCGAUGAAUUGACGGGGCCGCACAGCGUGGAGAUGUGGUUAAUUCGAUGCACGCGAAGAACUUACUACUCUUGAAUCAGAGACUUCCAGAGAUGCUUGGUGCUUCGGAACUUGAGACAGGUGCUGCUGGUGUCCUCACUCUGUCGUGAAUGUUGGUUAGUCC